rnacentral:rRNA from 1 species
AUUGAACGCUGGCGGCAGGCUUAACACAUGCAAGUCGAGCGGGGUGAUGGUGCUUGCACUAUCACUUAACGGCGGACGGGUGAGUAAUGCUUAGGAAUCUGCCUAUUAAUGGGGGACAACAUCUCGAAAGGGAUGCUAAUACCGCAUACGCCCUACGGGGGAAAGCAGGGGAUCACUUGUGACCUUGCGUUAAUAGAUGAGCCUAAGUCGGAUUAGCUAGUUGGUGGGGUAAAGGCCUACCAAGGCGACGAUCUGUAGCGGGUCUGAGAGGAUGAUCCGCCACACUGGGACUGAGACACGGCCCAGACUCCUACGGGAGGCAGCAGUGGGGAAUAUUGGACAAUGGGGGGAACCCUGAUCCAGCCAUGCCGCGUGUGUGAAGAAGGCCUUAUGGUUGUAAAGCACUUUAAGCGAGGAGGAGGCUCUUUUGGUUAAUACCCAAGAUGAGUGGACGUUACUCGCAGAAUAAGCACCGGCUAACUCUGUGCCAGCCGCCGCGGUAAGAC